UACAGAGGGGGCAAGCGUUAUUCGGAAUUAUUGGGCGUAAAGGGCGCGUAGGCGGUGCGGUAAGAGUGUUGUGAAAUCUUCGGGCUCAACUCGAAGUCUGCAACGCUGACUGCCGUGCUUGAGUGUGGGAGAGGUGAGUGGAAUUCCUGGUGUAGCGGUGAAAUGCGCAGAUAUCAGGAAGAACACCAAUGGCGAAGGCAGCUCUCUGGGACGGUACUGACACUGAGACGCGAAAGCGUGGGGAGCGAACAGG
rnacentral:rRNA from 1 species